GUUUUAGAAUCUGGCGAUCGGGCGGGCCACUUGGGCCAAUCGCCCUGUGUUCCUUGGAAAGGGAAAGCAGAGGGCGGAGAGCCCUCUAUCUGAUCACGAUUCCACCUCCGGAGGGUCCCUACCUCCGUUCUGUCAGAAGAUCCUUGAGACUCGCAAUCGAGAGGAUCUCCUGGAUCAAAGGUUCCAAGAGAUAAACUGAC
rnacentral:lncRNA from 1 species